AGUUCGAUCCUGCUCAGAUUGAACGCUGGCGGAUGCUUUACACAUGCAAGUCGAACGGCAGCACGGACUUCGGUCUGGUGGCGAGUGUAGAACGGGGUGAGUACUAUCGGAACGUGCCUAGUAGCGGGGAUAACUACGCGAAAGGUAGCUAAUACCGCAUACGGCCCUUCGGGGGAAAGCGGGGGUGGACCUUCGGCCUCGACCAUUAGAGCGGGCUGAUAUCGACGAAGAAGUUGGUGGGGUAACGGCUCACCAAGGCGUGGAUGAUCCGGCUGGUUUGAGAGGAAUGACCAGCCACACUGGGACUAGAUAGCCCAGACUCCUACGGAGGCAGCAGUGUAGAAUUCUUGGAUAUUGGGAAUCCUUCGAUUCGCAGCCACUCGGCGGUAAGGAGAAGGCUUUCGGGUUGUAAAGCACUUUGGCAGGAGUAAACGGUACGGGAUAAUACCCCGUGCAACUGACGGUACUCUGCAGAAUAAGCACCGGCUAACUGAUACGUGCCAGCAGCCGUAAUACGUAGGGUGCAAGCGUUAAUCGGAAUUACUGGGCGUAAAGCGUGCGCACGGCUGAGCAGAUGUGAAAUCCCAGAGCCGUAACUUUGAACUGCAUUUUUAAUCACUGAGCUGAGUGUGUCAGAGGGAGGGAAUUCCGGCGUAGUAGUGAAUGGCGUAGAUAUGCGGAGGAACACCGAUGGCGAAGGCAGCCUUCCGGGAUAACACUGACGCUCAUGCACGAAAGCGUGGGGAGCAAACAGGAUUAGAUACCCUGGUAGUCCACGCCUAAACGAUGUCAACUAGCUGUUGGGGCCUUCGGGCCUUGGUAGCGCAGCUAACGCGUGAAGUUGACCGCUCAUAGCGGUCGCAAGAUUAAAACUCAAAGGAAUUGACGGGGACCUGCAGCGGUGGAUGAUGUACUAAUUCGAUGCAACGCGAAAAACCUUACCUACCCUUGAACAUGUCUGGAAUCCCGAAGAGAUUUGGGAGUGCUCGCAAGAGAACCGGAACAGAAGUGUAUGACAGUCGUCAGCUCGUGUCGUGGGAGAUGCCGGUUAAGUCCCGCAACGAGCGCAACCUCUUGUCAUUAGUUGCUACGAAAGGGCACUCUAUCGAGACUGCCGGUGACAAACCGGAGGAAGGUGGGGAUGACGUCAAGUCCUCAUGGCCCUUAUGGGUAGGGCUUCAUUGGUCAUACAAUGGUCGGGACAGAGGGUCGCCAACCCGCGAGGGGGAAGCUAAUCCCAGAAACCCGAUCGUAGUCCGGAUCGCAGUCUGCAACUCGACCGCGUGAAGUCGGAAUCGCUAGUAAUCGCGGAUCAGCAUGUCGCGUGAAUAUUGCUCCGGUCUUGUACACACCGCCCGUCACACCAUGGAGUGGGUUUUACCAGAAGUAGUUAGCUCAACCGUAUGAGGGCGAUUACCACGGUAGGAUUCAUGAGGGGUGAAGUCGUAACAAGGCAG
rnacentral:rRNA from 1 species